CUCCAUCCUUCCCGACUCCUCUGUAGAUCUCGAUCGGCUUCUUCCAUCUCCUUUGUCAGCCCCGACUCCCCUGGUCUCACUGUUUCCAGAUCCCCAACCCUCCCCAUCCAUGGCCGCCGCAACCUCCCCAUCCAUGGCCAUCUUCUAGGGGAAGAUCCCGCAACCGCUACGACGAUAGCCUCAUUCCCGGAGGCGGGGACGCCCCUGAAGGAGAACCUAGUGCACGCGACGCCGGUGCUGUUAUUGCGGGUCGGGCGGCGGUCAGAUCCACCAUGGAAACAACCGGCAUCCUCUCCCUCUCUAUCCAUCUUUCUCCCAUGACUGAGAAGAUGGCUUCGUCAAGGAUCCCAUCAUGGAGGUCAACGUGGGAGGCUGCUUCCUCCCCUUCCAGAUUGACCAUCCAUCGAUGGAGGCUAUGAGAGCUGAGUGAGCACACACAUGGUUGCGCUUCAAGCUGCAGCUCAAUAGAUGCAGGGACGCCGCAAUGGAGCAAGUAAGGCCUCCCUUCUCCCACUAUUUCUGCAGAUCCGCCACGGCCAGCCAUAUCCGGCGCCCCUGCACCACCGUGGUGAGGUGGAAGAAAUCUCUUGAGGCCAAACCGUAGGGAGGACGACGGCCAACAAUCGGUACAUGUUCUCAAGGUCCCAUGGAACUGGGUACUGGUGCGGCUGUGUGCUCGUGAUCCCCAUCCAAUGUUGCGCAUCCAAGGCAACGUUGCACUGGUCCUUGGGAGCAUAGGUUGAGGCGAUACGGUGACUUCCUUUGAUGAUGUCGGCGGGGAUGGCUGGAUCUGUGUCUAGGAAGGCAUGGGAAUGACCCCCGGUUGCUGUCUAUUGAGCGUUCGGAGGCAGUGGCUGCAAAGUAGCAUAGGGUGUUCUCUAGCACUUGUUUGGCACUUGUUUGUAGAUUGAAGUUUCUUGUGUUUUUGCUCCUGCAUAUGGUAUCGUCUGGAUAUGUCUGUAAUU